rnacentral:lncRNA from 1 species
AAGUAUUACUAUUGACACCGUCUCCCAAUCUUUAUAUGCCUUUAGAUUGAAAACCAUAUAAAAUCCCACUAAUGUAACAUUAUUUGUUGGACCAAGUUAGCAGAAGAACUGACUUGGCCAGAUCAGUUAAAGAAUGUUAAGUACAUAUUUUGUUAGUUAAGUGGUUAGUAAUAACUGACUUAAAUAUCUGCUAAACUAGUAGUUAGUAUAACUAAAUCUGUAGCUAUAAAAGGCACACUAUUGUAAGAACUAUUCAAUGAAUGAAAAUACACGUUUAGUAGAAACUUAUAUUGUAUCAUUCGUUCUCGGCUAAGAUCUUCAAGAAUGAUUAAUGCCGACUCGUUUUCCGCUGCCGCCGGUGCGACGAUUACCGGAAAUGCUGCUGCCACAAGAUUGGUCGCGAAGCAUGUAAAAUGUGUUCAAUUAGAGAAAGACAACUACUUCGUAUGGGAGGCUCAAUUCUCGGCGAUGCUAUGGGGAUUUGAACUCAUGGGAUACGUCGAAGGUGAAAUUGAACUCAACACUCCAUCGACUCGCCAACAAGAUCAGCUUAUCCUAAGUUGGAUCUUGAUAGGGAUUUCGACUUCUAUUCUUCCUUCGGUUGUUGCCUGCAAGACAUCCACGAUGACAUGGAACGCCUUGAAAAGAAUGUACGCCUCCAGCACUUUGGCGAGACAGUUACACCUAAGAUUGCAGCUGCAAACAACGAAGAAGGAAGGCAUGAUGAUGGGAGAUUUUCUUGCUAAGAUUUCAAUCCUAAAAGAUUCGCUAGCUGCAAACAGAGAAGUUUUGAAAGAAAAAAAGGUUAUUUUAAUUGCUUUACAAGGUCUUGGGGAUGAAUAUGAAUCAUUUGUGACAUCUAUUACAACUAGAUACGAUCACUUAAUGACUUUCAUUACAUUGUGUGAAGUCCUGAUCGACUAUGAUCGGCUCGAGGCUAGAAAUUCGACGACCAUGAAUGUUUCAGCAAAAGCAUACAAAUCCGGACGAACAUCAGAUGCAAAUUCGGACGGCGACUCGUCAUUUGAGAAUGUCAGAUGCCAAAUCUGCAACAGGAAAGCUCACUCUGCCCUAAAUUGCUAUCAUCGGUUGAACAUUAUGAAGUACAGACCGACACACACUCGUGAGCUCACGGCUGUUGGACCGAAUGGUGCAUAUCGAUCUGCCCGGAAAGAAAAAUCUGCAACACUCUCCGCAAAUGCAGAUUCUGAUUCUUCAAUGUCUCUUUGGUUUCCCAACACCGGUGCAACUUCUCAUAUAACUCCUACCGCCAAUAAUAUCCAAUCCCCAAGAAUAUUCAAAGGUAAUAAUCAGAUUCUCACGGCUGAUGGUAGUCCGUUAUCUAUUUUGAAUACGGGGGAGAGUAUUGCAAAAGACAACUUCAAAAAUUCUUUCUAAUAAAAAAUUUGUUACAC